GCCCUGGUAGCGCAACUGGUCAGAGCGUGGGACUUUUAAUCCCAAGGCUGCGGGUUCGAAUCCCGCCUGGGGCG
rnacentral:tRNA from 1 species